CUUCACCGACCCGAGCAGCAGCGGGUGGCUCCGCUCCCGACCGUAGGCGGCGAGGAUCGCCUGCGCCUC
rnacentral:antisense_RNA from 1 species